CCCUCCUUUAGCUCUCGUUCCUUCUCUUCAUCUAUAAAAUGCUUACGCGUAUAUAUCUAUCUGCAGGUCUUUCCGAUAGGUUCUCCGCUAGUACCUGAUGUAUCAAGAGGGAUAUUAAAUGUCACAGAGAGUAAAAAAAUGAUCGAUAUCGAGAAAAAAUGGUUUGGAGAUAGAACCAAAUGUCCAGAUUCUAGUACUUUGUUUUCGUCCAACAGUAUCGGUUUAGAGAGCUUUUGGGGGCUGUUCUUGAUAGUGGGAAUUGCUGCAGCUUCAGCUUUAAUAAUCUACGCGAUUAAAUUCCUACGCGAAAAUUGGCAUGUUGUUGACCGGUCCGGUCACGAGUUGACUAUAUGGACCAAGAUGAACGACUUGCUUCAAAGGUUCAAGAACAGAGAUCUCAGCUCUCAUACUUUUAAGAACAUGGAAAAUAGAGAUAGGGAGAGUGUUUGUGGAGGUGAUUGCAUGAAGAGAGCAGCAGAAUCAUCCAACGAACAUGAUUUUCAAUUUAGUCCGUCGACUUUUUCAGUGGCCUCUCCGUUCACUAACGGCCCACCAAGUCCUGAUUUCUCGAGCCCAGAUGCGCGGAACGUAGAUUUUGAAGCUAUACAGCAAGAAAUCGAACUUGUUAACCCGAAUCAAAACGAGCAUUUGCCAUCAACAUGUUAACCAAGUGCGGAAACUUGUCUUUCGUCUCAAGUCAGAUAACGGUGAGAUGAUAUCUUGUAGCUAUGUAACUUAUAAAUUUAGUUCCACAUGAGACCUCAAUUCUAAUUUCAUUUCCAAUGUAAAACAGCACUUUCGGUUAGAAAUUUAUUCGUAAAUACUAAAUACAUAAUAAGAGUACCCCAAGACUAACAUGUCGAAAUCAAUGAGAAUAUUGAACUUAACAUAAAUACGAAAACGCACAUUACUUCAUGUAAUUGAAUUCAAACACACUAAUUUAGUUAAUUUUAAUAAUAGUGUCUCAUCUUCCGUCAUGGAUUGAAGAUUCCUUCUUCUUAUGAUUAUGAUUAUUAUCUAAAUUUCAAUUUUACUCAUACACCUCAAAACAUCGAACAAAGAGGAGUUUCUUCUGUAAGUUUGUUUUGUUUCCAUUGUUUAUAAAAACUAUAUAGUAUUUUAUAUAUAUAUAUAUAUAUAUAUAUAUAUAUAUAUAUAUAUAUAUAUAUAUAUAUAUAUAUGUAUAUAUAUUUGGGUAGUGUAGUAUAACCCCUCGAAAUCUUUUAAUGUAUAUUUGGACCGCAAAGACAAUAUUCUUGAGAAUUUUUUUUGACUAUAAUUAACCCUGAAUAAUUAAUGUUCAAUAGGAGUCAAUUUAAACCUACUAACUGAAUGUAGUAAUUGCUGAUUAGCAUAAUAACUCAAAAAAAUUAUUCUAAUCAAACCUCCUAAGGCUAAGGACAAACCUUGAUACAAACUUCAACAUAAUCAGCCCUUUUUUUUAAUCAAAAGUUGCAUGCAUGUUGGAUAGUUGAUUGACUUCACAAAAGUAAACUCCAUUUUUUUUUCAGCAAAACUAUAUUAUUCUAUACAUAACACAGACCAUGUUUUGGGUCCUACAUCAUAUGUUUUAGCUGUAGAUGUGAUAGUUAAAGUUCAAACAUUAUAUAUACUUCGGUAACCGAACACCGAUCAUUCCCUCAAGUCUCAAACAGCAAAAUUUAGCAAAAGAUAGAUAUGGAGAAGAGAAUUACCUGCAGGAAUCCCAUUUUGUAUAUCUUCUUUUACUUGUUCAUCGGUUUAAAGAAUUUUUCGACAAAAACGGCAGAGGCGCAGGUCAUCCCUGUAAGAGUCGGGCUUGUGCUAGACAUGGAUGACUAUGGAAAGAUGACACUGGACGUUAUAAGGAUGGCUCUCUCAGACUUCUAUGCCACACAUGAUCAUUAUACCACAAGGCUCGUUCUUGUCGACCGGGACUCCAAAGGCGAUGUCGUUGGGGCAGCUGCAGCAGGUACUCUGCCUAAAAAUACACACACACACACACACACACACACACACACACACACGCACACAACAACACACUCUCGAAAAAAAAGGGAGGAAGAAAAAUGACAAAGAAAAACUCUAUCACUUCAAUUUUUGCAAGCCUUUCUACAUAUAUAAAUAAUUUUCCGAUAAAUUGUUGGAUAUUUUGCGGAAAUAUUUGGAAAAGAUUAACAAGGAAAUAUUUAAGAGAACGUAUCUCCUAUAUAUUUUACUCUAGCUAAAACUUGUUGAAUUACAUGUACAAACUCCACACCUAUUUAUACUAGUCCAGGCACAAGUAGUACCUGUAUCAUAAAAAAAAAAGUAACGUUCAUGAAUACUAGAUAAUCAUGUAUCUAAUUAUUCAUUUAUUUGCCUAUUCAUUUAUCAUAUCAUACAUCGUACAUGCACGUGGAUAAUUCUAGAAAGUGCAUUAUUCCAACAUAGAUGAGAAUUCUAUACCCGGAACUUCUUCAUUAAAAUAGUCGUUAACAUUACCAUUUAUUAGGAAAACUACAUUAAAUAUGCACACCCGAGAUUGUCGAAACCAACUAAUGAAUGUUGUCUUGCACAUGAAAUGCAGGUCUGGACCUUCUGAAGAAUGUUGAAGUGCAAGCCAUAAUAGGUCCCAUGUACUCAAUACAGGCUAAUUUCCUUAUUUCUCUUGGACAGAAAGCUCAAGUUCCUAUUGUUACCUUCUCGGCCACAAGUCCUUCUCUCUCAUCACUUCGGAGUCCUUAUUUCAUCCGGGCUACUCUAAAAGACUCUUCACAAGUAGGCGCUAUAGUUGCAAUCAUUCAAGCGUUUGGGUGGAGAGAAGUUGUGCCCGUUUACGAGGAUAAUGAAUUUGGGGAAGGGAUUCUACCAUUUUUGACUGAUGCACUGGAAAAGGUAAAUGUGCGCGUACCUUACAGAAGUGUCAUUCCACCAUUAGCAACGGAUGAUCAAAUUGCUGCGGAGCUUUACAAGCUGAUGACGAUGCAAACUAGAGUUUUCGUCGUCCACGUGCUGAACCCUCUUGCUUCUCGCCUGUUCACCAAGGCGAAAGAAAUAGGAAUGAUGAGUCAAGAUUAUGCAUGGAUAAUAACAGAUAGCAUCACAAACGAUUUAAAUUCAAUGAACCCUUCUGUCAUAGCAUCCAUGCUAGGAGUAAUAGGAGUAAGACCUUAUGUCCCAAAGACCAAAGAGCUGGAUGACUUUGCAAUUCGAUACAAGCAAAGGGUUCGGCAGAGCCGUCCAAAAGCUCCUACUCCCGAUGUCGACAUUUAUCGGUUAUGGGCUUAUGACUCGGCCACUGCACUAGCCAUGGCAGUAGAAGAAGCACUGCCAGAAAAUCCUGAAUAUCGAGAGGCAAAUGUGUCAAGAAAUUCUACAGAUCUUGAAGCCUUUGGAGUAUCAUUAAGUGGACCAGAGCUGAUUCAGGCUUUAUCAAGUGUUACAUUUACGGGCCUUGCUGGAAACUUUCGCUUAGUUGAUGGCCAACUCCAAGCACCUCCUUAUCAGAUCGUCAAUAUCGAUGGUCCUCGAGCUAGCAGCAUAGGGUAUUGGACAAAAGAGAAUGGACUUGUCAAAGAACUGAACUUCGAAAGUUCAAAUACAAAUAAAUAUUCUACUUCCAGAUCCAACCUUGGAUCCAUUGUAUGGCCAGGCGACAAAUCAUCUCCGCCUAAAGGUUGGGUGAUUCCAACCUGGUUUCCCUUCUCCACCAUGGUAUUUGCUCAUAGUAAGACCCCUUUCAUCUUUUAAACCAUAUUCCUUUUCGCCAAAUGUUAUAUACCAAACUUUAAAAUCUCCUUAAUUUACGGUUACGCGAUAAAAUUAACAAUUUUUUUUCUGACCAUCUGCCGUUUAUUUUUCGGUAGAGGAGAAGGUUGCAAGCAACUGGGGCAGGUCCCUGCUGAUCAUAUGGUUUUUUCUGGUACUUAUACUAACCCAAAGCUAUACCGCCAGUCUUACAUCCAUGUUAACAGUCCAGAAGCUGCAGCCAACAGUUACCGAAGUUAGUGAGCUUAUUAAAAAUAAGGAAUAUGUAGGCUACUCGAAUCCGUCGUUUGUUUUCGGACUACUCAAAGAAAUGGGUAUCGAUGCGUCGCGACUUCGGCCAUUCAACUCAGCCGAGGAAAUGGACGAACUUCUCUCCAAAGGGAGUCGAAAUGGUGGAAUAGCUGCCGCCUUUCAUGAGAUCCCAUAUAUAAAGUUGUUUCGAGGAAAAUACUGUUCAAAAUACAUGAUGGUCGGACCCACGUAUAAGGCUGAUGGUUUUGGCUUUGUACGGACCCUCCUUUGAAGUAUAUCUACGCAUGUAUAUUAUUUUUCGCUUUAAUCGUUCUAAAGGCUCUCUUUUUCUUCUUUGCAGGUCUUCCCAAUAGGUUCUCCUCUAGUACCUGACGUUUCAAGAGCAAUUUUGAAUGUGACAGAAGGCCGAAAGAUGGUGGAAAUCGAGAGGAAAUGGUUCGGAGAUAAGACCACAUGUUCAGACUCUGACACUGUGCUUUCAUCAAAAAGUCUUGAGCUAGAAAGCUUCAUGGUACUCUUCUCAGCUGUAGGAGCGGUUGGAUUUGGAGCCCUUACGCACUAUGUGUUUAAAUUCCUUUAUGACAAUUGGGAUGUCGUCAAAGGGGAGGACGCUCCAUCCAAAUUGCUAAGAUUGCUGCGUAUUUUCCUGUCUAAGAAAGAAAACAACAGCCAAGAGAUCGAGCUUGUUGAUCCGCAUGAAAACUAGUGAUGAACAUAAAUGUUGGCACUUGCGAUUCGUUUACCUCAAAGAAAGAUUGAUGCCCGUCGCUUAACUGAGAAAGGUGGUGGUGUAAUUUUUAAAAUCUGAUUCCAAAUGUUUCGUGUCAAAUUUCCUUACAAAUUCUUUUUUUCUGGAAACAUUGUCUUGGGAUUAAGUUCUCUAUUGGGAAUGUCAAAUGUUUUAAUGUCCUUGGAAAGUUCUAACCACAAUUCCUUCACAUCAAAUUAUAUUUGGAUUCGUCUACAUUUUAGCUUAUGUUAAAUGCCUAUAUCUUCAAAAGCUCGGGCUAAUAAACAAAACUAGCAUUGAUAAAAUACCGAAAAAUUUGAUUAUGUAGAUAACGGGAACUCCGAUAGAGGGUCGUCAAGGAAGCAUCACAAAGCUAGAUACUUCACCUUAGUACGAGAAAAGAAGGUUAAGCAAAUAAGGUAAUAUGAGAUGCAGAUAGAUUCCAAAAAGCUCAUAUUCUUGUAGGCAUUUCAACAAACAUGUAAUAGGCAUCCACAUAAUCCUACAUCAUCGUACAGAUCUACCAACACAAACAAAACAUUAACAACAACGCAAAGCAAAACUUACCAAUCCUUUCUGUGACGAACAACUCCGAUUCUCUCGUUCUUCUUCUCUCCUAAGCACUCCGAGGUUAACUGUCAAUGUUUGAUUCUCUCCACACUCUUCAGCUGCAUUGCCAUUCUCGAACUUGAUUGAUUCUUUUCCGGCGCAUUGGAAUUAGCAUAAUUGAACUCAGUUUCACCAUCUUAUUUAUAAUGAUUUAUUUGGGAAAAAUAUAGUUUUUUUCUUUUCAUAUUUGGUCCCUUAUGUUUAUAAAAAACACAUUUAGUCCCUUAUGUUUCAAAAAUUCAACACUUUUAGUUAUUUCCGUCAAUUUUUCGUUAAAACUAACGGAAUCAAGCGUGUUCCGUGACUUGCUUAACUAACAAACUAACGGUAAAUUGAUGGAAAUGAUCAAAAAUAUUAAUUAUUGAAACAUGAGGGACCAAAUGUGUUUAUUUUUUUGUAAACAUGAGGAACCAAAUGUGGAAUCGAUGCAAACUUAAGGGGUCAAAACUGUAAUUUUUCCAAUUUAUUUUUAUCACUACACCAAAUCUGUAAUCAAUAUUGUUCGCCGUAGUUAGUUUGAAAUAUUUGCAAUUGUAAUAAAAUAUAUUUUCAAUAUUUUGAGCCAAAUCAGUUACAUUUAUAAAGCAAUGAAUCUUUGAAAGUUAAAUUCAACCACAAAAGUUGUUAAAACAUAAUGAAUCUUUGAUUCCAGUUUUGUCACCCGUGAAAUACAUUGGAUGAUUCUUGGAUGAUUCUGCACCAUUGAUCUGAACAUAAUAACACACAUACCAAUGUGUUUGUGUGUUUAAUGGAUAGUUAUUUGUAUAAAUUUAUGAUGCAAAUUCACCUAGUAUUUUUUACCAAAUGUAGCAUCUCAUAAACCCUAAUUACCUCGUAUAUAUUUAAAAUUUCAACCGAGUCCGAAUUCUUUUGUAAUAAGUCAAACCUCAAGAAUGAAUAAAUGAUUUAUAAUUAUAGUCAAAACUUCUAAAAACAAGCAUUCAUAAAAAUUUAAAACAGCAACCAAUGUUGGAUGGCUCGUUGACUUUACAAAAGUAAACUCUUAAACUCUCCUAAGAAACUUCAAAAUACAAUAUAUUAAUACAAUGAGGACAGCUCAUUUUGGAUGUAACAGUUCAAAUUCAAACAUCCAAAACAUAGUGCCCUGUAUAUGCAUAUUUUUUGAGUAAUCAAAUAAAUCAUCAUCACAAAAAGAAAAAAGAAAAAAAUUAAUAAUAAUAAUAAAUAAAGCCCCAAAUUUAGCAAAAAGAAAUGGAGAAGAUCAAAACCUGCAGAUAUGCCAUUUUGUAUCUCUUCUUUUAUUUAUGUGCCGUGAUUUUCUCGACAAAAAUGGCAGCGGCACAGAACAUCUCCGUAAGAGUAGGAGUGGUGCUAGACAUGGAUGAGUAUGGAAAGAUGGCAUUCAACUGCACAUCAAUGGCGCUCUCUGAUUUCUACGCUACACACGGUCAUUAUAAAACGAGGCUCGUUCUCAUCAACCGUGACUCCAGAGAAGGCGUAAUUGGUGCAGCUGCAGCAGGUACGAUAUUGAAGGAUAAUUUUGUCCUUUUUUACGUAGGGUAAACUGUAAACCGACUAUUUCCUUCACCAUGUGACAUCUGUCGACAACUUUCAUUCCUAACGAGAAAUCCAGAUUUAGAGUAUUUUUUUCCCAAGAUGAGAAAUACACUAAUCGGUCAUCGAUUUUUUACAUCUUAAUUUCAAUAUAAAAACGUAUAGCUUUUUAUCUAAUAAAUGAAGGAUCAAAUGAUGAAUGUUAUGUUGCACAUGAAAUGCAGGUUUGGACCUGCUGAAGAAUGUUGAAGUGCAAGCCAUCAUCGGUCCCAUGUACUCGGUACAGGCUAAUUUCCUUAUUUCUCUUGGACAGAAAGCUCAAGUUCCUAUAGUUACCUUCUCGGCCACAAGUCCUUCUCUUUCAUCACUGAGGAGUCCUUAUUUCGUUCGGGCUACUCUAAACGACUCUACGCAAGUAAACCCCAUCGUUGCAAUUAUUCAAGCCUUUGGAUGGAAAGAAGCUGUGCCAAUCUACGAGGAUAACGAAUUCGGAGAAGGGAUUGUACCGUUUUUAACCGAUGCCUUAGAGCAGGUAAAUGCGCGCGUACCUUACAGGAGUGUCAUCCCAUCAACAGCGACAGACGAGCAAAUCGUCGCAGAGCUUUCCAAGCUGAAGACUAUGCAAACAAGAGUAUUCAUCGUGCACAUGUUGAGCAGCCUCGGUUCUCUCCUGUUCGCCAAAGCAGCACAACUAGGAAUGAUGAGUAAAGAUUACGCAUGGAUAAUAACAGACAGCAUCACAAACGAAUUAAAUUCAAUGGAUCCUUCUGUCCUAGCAUCCAUGCUAGGAGUAAUAGGAGUAAAGCCUUAUAUUCCACAGACAAAAGAGCUGGACGACUUUGCAAUUCGAUACAAAAACAUGACUCUGCAGAGCAAUCCAAAAGCUCUAAAUCUGGACAUAUAUGGUAUAUGGGCUUAUGACUCGGCUCUUGCACUAGCCAUGGCAGUUGAAAAAGCAGGGUUAUCAAAUCUUACAUAUCAAAAGACAAACACGUCGACAAAUUCUACUGAUCUUGAAGCCUUUGGGGUAUCGUUAAGUGGACCAAAGCUAAUUCAGGCUUUAUCGAGUACCACAUUUAGAGGCCUUGCUGGAAACUUCCAAUUAGUCGAUGGUCAACUCCAAGCACCUCCUUAUGAAAUAGUCAACAUUGUUGCUCAUGGAGUUAGUGGCAUAGGAUAUUGGACAAAAGAGAAUGGAAUUGUAAACAAACUAAAGUUCACUAGUUCAAGCACAAGCGCAUAUUCAACUUCCAAAGACAACCUCGGAUCUAUUACAUGGCCAGGCAACGAAUCAUCUCCACCUAAAGGUUGGGCAGUUCCGACAAAAACCAAGAAACUGAGAGUAGGAGUGCCUGUAAAGGCUGGUUUCACCGAAUUCGUGCGUGUUACGUGGAAUUCGGACAAUACUACUAAAGUGGAAGGAUACUGCAUAGAUGUUUUUGAUGCGGUGAUGGCAGCACUACCAUAUGAUGUGCCGUAUGAAUACAUUCCAUUUGCAACACCUGAUCGCAAGAUGGCUGGAGUUUACAAUGAUUUGGUCUAUGAAGUGUACCUCGGAGUAAGUUCUUCUUUCUUUCCUACAAAAUUAAAAACCAAAUACAUUUUUAUCAACACAGAAGAUGCAGUAUGCUGUGCCUGAACGUUUUUUUUUUUUUUUUUUUUUUUUUUUUUUUUUUUUUUUGUUUUCGCUUAUUAAUGAACAGAACUAUGACGCAGUAGCUGGAGACGUAACAAUUCUCGGAAAUAGGUCUCAGUAUGUCGACUUCACCCUGCCUUACAGAGAGUCUGGUGUUUCGAUGGUUGUACCGAUCCCAGAAGAUAAGAAGGGAAAUACAUGGCUAUUGGUGAAGCCGUUGACUUGGGAACUGUGGUCGACAAUCUUUGUCUCCUUUGUUUUAUUCGGGAUUUUGGUUUGGUUUCUUGAACGCCCAAGAAAUAGAGAUUUCAGAGGGACUGGUUGGGAUCAAUUUUGCAUGAUAUUCUGGUUUUCCUUCUCCACCAUGUUCUUUGCCCACAGUAAGCCACCUUUCAUCAUUUAAAUUACAUUUAGUCAUUUUGCCAAAUGUUACACUAAAGCAAAAUAUAGAGUAUAAUCAUCUAGUCAGAUGUUGAGGAUUAAACCUACUUAACUAACGGAGCAUAGAAAAGGUAAUAAAAUAAGAAGUUAUUUCUGACCUUUCGGCAUUGAAUUUUUUUUUUUGGUAGAGGAGAGGGUGGUAAGCAACUCCGCAAAGGUAGUGGUGAUUGUAUGGCUCUUGGCGGUAUUUAUAUUAACCCAAGGCUAUGCUUCGAGUCUCACAUCCAUGUUAACAGUCCAGAAACUGACAGAUACUGAUGUUAACGAGCUUAUUCGAAACAAGGAAUAUGUGGGCUACUCCAAUACCUCUUUUGUAUACGAAUUUCUGAAAAAACGUUUCGAUAAGUCGCAACUUCGGCCGUUCAAGUCAGCGGAGGAAAUGGAUCAACUUCUCUCCAAAGGGAGUGCAAACGGUGGAAUUGCUGCUGCCUUUCACGAGAUUCCAUACUUAAAUCUGUUUAUAGCAAAAUACCGUUCAAAAUACAUGAUGGUCGGACCCACAUAUAAGGCUGCUGGUUUCGGAUUUGUAUGUGACUCCCUUGACUACAUAUACGUUUCCAUUUUGCGUUGUCGUCUUUUUUUCUUUCUAGACUCUACUUCUCUCUUCUUUUCUGCAGGUCUUCCCAAUAGAUUCUCCUCUAGUACCUCAUGUUUCGAGGAAAAUUCUGAGUGUGACCGAGGGCCAGACGAUGGUGGAGAUUGAGAAGAAGUGGUUGGGAGGUGAGGCCAAACGGCCGGACACUAACACCAAAAGUCUCGGCCUAUCAAGCUUCAGGGUGGUCUUUAUUAUUGUCGGAGCAACCGGACUUGCAGCGAUUAUAAGUUAUAUGAUUAUGUUCGGAUAUGGAACUCAUGUCCACAGUGACGAACCCACAAUCGAGAGACAGAUUUAUGAGUUAUGUGAGUUACUCAAGCGUUGCGAGGAAAGAGACCAACAAAUAAAUAAUCCUGGGAAUCGGAAUGGAAACUAGUGAACCACCAAAAUGCUGUCACAUACAGGUUUUUCGUCGUUGUGAGGAGGUUGUAUCCUAAUUUGUAAAUCUCAUUCUACGUGUUUCAUCGUUUUUCCCCCCACUUUAAAUUGUAUUUGUUGAAAUAAUAAUGUCUUGGGAUUAAAUUCUCUUCUGAGAAUAUCUUCUUGGGACUUCAAUCAGCCACAACUCUUAAGUUAUCUCAAGAUUACAAGCACUCCCUAACAAAGUUCAAAUAUUUCUCUCUUAAUCUUUAAGAUAUAUAUAUUUAACUUGAAAGUUCAACAUAAAAAUAGUUUCUUCUUUUGUAAGUAAGUAAACCUUAAGAAUAUAUUUCAUACUUUAGACGACAUGUAUUCCUGGAUAAGAAACCCGGUGCUUUUAGUUCAAGUCCGGGAUACGAAGCCCGUAUUGUCUAAAAUUUAAAAUUAAAUAUUUAAAUUCAAUUUCACGGUUUAAGAGAAAAAGGCAUAAUUCUGGGCUUUGUAGCCCGUAGCGUAGUUCGGGCUACAAAGUCCGGAAUUAUGAACUUCACUCUGGAUUACGAAAUCCCGAGCCUUCAAAAUCUAUUUAGAUAUACCCUAUUAAAAUUUGCAAGUAGAAUGAGUAGAGAAAAGAAUGACAACUAGAAUGAGUCAAUUACAGUAAUAUCCAAUGACCUAGGACUUAUUUACAUUCUUCUUCUUGGCUAAGUCAAUUACAGUAAUAUCCAAUGGUUUAUUUAUUAUUAUUAUUAUUAUUUUUUAAUCCAAAUACCGUUUUAAAUACACACUCAAACAGAUUUGAACCCCAUCUUCUUGACACCCCACACUGAGAGAAACCACAAUACCAACCUAAGUUAAACCUUGAUCGACAAUAAAAAGUUACCAUAAACGUUAACUUUACAAAUUCGCCAAUCGGGUGCAAGAAUUGUUGGUGUUGAAACUUGAAACUCAUCGGUGUUUUAUAAUUGUAUUCUAGAAUAAACUACAGAAAUUACUUAAGACUUGUGCUAUUUGUAAAAAUAAAAUAAAUAACCAUAUAACUUUUCAGGUCAACUAAGAAAGUAUCAGCCCUUUUUUUUUCAUCUAGUUGCAUGCAUGUUGGAUGGUUCAUUGACUUUUAAAAAGUAAACUCCAUGAUUCUUUCAGCAAACUGUAUUACAUAUAUUUUAGCUGAUGUGACAGUUCAUGUUCAAACAUCCAAACAAUGUUAACCAAAGAAUGAUCCCAUUCUCUCGAAUCUCAAACACGCAAAAUUUUGCCAAAAAGAUAUGGAGAAGAAAAAUACCUGCAACGAUAAUCCCAUUUUGUGUAUCUUCUUUUACUUACUGAUCACUUUAAAUAUUUUCUCCACAAAAACAGCAACGGCCCAAAUCAUCCGUGUAAAAGUCGGAGUUGUGUUAGACAUGGAUGCAUUUGGACGGAUGACAUUCACGUGCAUAUCAAUGGCCCUCUCGGAAUUUUAUGUUACAAAUGACAAAUAUAGAACGAAGCUGAGUCUCACCAGUCGGGACUCUAAAAACGACGUCGUUGGGGCAGCUGCAGCAGGUACAUCAAAGCCUAAAAAAUACACACCCACACACACUCAGGAAAUUAGGAGGAAGAAAUAGAAAGAAAAAAAGAUUAUGCACUUAACCAACUCGUACCGUAAGAUGUUUAUUUGUCAAAUGCUCUAGGAUGAUGAAUUUUUCUUUGCCUUCAAACUUCAUUUCUUUUGCUAGCCUUUUUCAUAUAUUAUUUCCUUCAAGUAGGGCCGAACUGCAAAACAAAUCCGUUGGUCAUAAUUUUCUUAUGCAACCAUUUUCUGUUGCGAUGAUGAGUAGCACAUCAACAGCCAUCGCCUUUGUCUUAUCUUAAAAUUUCGAAUUAAUAUAUAUAUAUAUAUAUAUAUAUAUAUAUAUAUAGAUAUAUAUAUAUAUUAGGAUAAAAAGAUAAUCAGACCUAACCUGAUAAGAGGUUUAUUUAAUUUACAUAAUUCUCUGGUUUUCUUAUUCUUGUUAUGAGGUCUACCAUAUCAAACAAUGGGUCAAUACUCAAUAGCUUUAUCUUGUCUGGAAAAUGUAGACUAUUCAAUAAACUAGUUCGAAAUUCAGAAAUUUUAGAAUAUUAGCAAUUUAGCUCGUUCGAUAGAUAAGUACAUUUAUAAAAACGUUCGAUAGAUAAGUACAUUUAUAACAGUAACAUUGUACUAUAUCGUCAGUAUCUUGCAUAGGUUCAACAGAACAAAUGUUUAUCGGCUAGAUAUCAUAGAGACAAAACAGAGUCUGAAUUAUCUGUUCCUCAAAGGUCAGUUUGCUUAAGCAAGUGCUAGUUAUACAUAUUUUUCGCAAUAAAAGCUAUAAACUAGUCCUAAAUGUAUAGGCGUGAUCUGUUUUAAAGAAAUUUUAAGCCCAAAAAAUUUGAAUUUUCAACAGGUGCGGAGAAACAUUGAAAUAUUAAAUUGACUAAAUAUUCACUCUCAAGAUGGACGUAUCUAGUACUAUUCAGUUUUCUUUCCAACAAAUGAGAUUCUAUACCAGGAAAAUUUGUAUUAAAAUAGUAGUUAAAAUAUUACCUUAUACUGGGAGAAGUGCAAACCGUUCAAGAUGCACAUUACUAAUUGUAACAGUCAACUGAAUGAUUUCUUGCUCAUGAAAUGCAGGUCUGGACCUACUGAAGAAUGUUGAAGUGCAAGCCAUCAUCGGUCCCGUGUACUCAAGUCAGGCUAACUUCCUUAUUUCUCUUGGACUCAAAGCUAAAGUUCCCAUCAUUACUUUCUCAGCCACGAGUCCUUCUCUUUCAUCGCUUCGUAGUCCAUAUUUCAUUCAGGCUACUCUAAAAGACUCUUCACAAGUAGGCGCAAUCGUUGCAAUCAUUCAAGCCUUUGGAUGGAGAGAAGUUGUAACCAUUUACGAGAAUACUGAAUUUGGAGAAGGGAUUAUACCAUUUUUAACCGAUGCCUUAGAAAAGGUAAAAGUGCGUGUACCGUACAGGAGUGUCAUUCAAACUUCAGCAACAGAUGAUCAGAUCCUCGCAGAGCUUUACAAGUUGAUGGCUAUGCAAACCAGAGUUUUCAUCGUCCACAUGUUGAACCCUCUUGCUUCUCGCCUGUUCACCAAAGUGGAACAACUAGGGAUGAUGAGUAAAGAUUAUGCAUGGAUAAUAACAGAUAGCAUCACAAACGAUUUAAAUUCAAUGAACCCUUCUGUCAUAGCAUCCAUGCUAGGAGUAAUAGGAGUAAAACCUUAUGUUCCAAAUACAAAGGAACUGGAUGACUUUAUAACUCGAUACAAGAAAAGGGUUCUGCAAAGCAAUCGAAAAGCCCUUGGCGUGGACAUUUACGGGCUAUGGGCUUACGACUCGGCCAUAGCACUAGCCAUGGCAGCAGAAACUGCAGGACUAAAAAAUCUUACAUAUCAAGAAACGAACACAUCAACAAAUUCUACGGAUCUUGAAGCCAUUGGAGUAUCAAUAAGUGGACCAGAGCUCAUUCAGGCUUUAUCAAAUAUCACAUUUAGGGGCCUUGCUGGAGAUUUUCGAUUGGUCGAUGGCCAACUCCAAGCGCCUCCAUAUGAGAUAGUCAAUAUGGUUGGUCCUGGAGCUAGAGGCAUAGGAUAUUGGACAAAAGAGAACGGAAUCAUCAACAAACUGAACUUCACUAGUUCAAGCACAAAUGAAUAUUCCACUUCCAAGUCCAACCUUGGGCCUACUAUAUGGCCAGGCGACGAAUCAUUUCCACCUAAAGGUUGGGUGGUUCCUACAAGAGGGAAGAAAUUGAAGGUAGGAGUACCCGUAAAGGAUGGUUUCACAGAUUUCGUUCGUGUAACUUGGAAUUCCGACAAUUCUACAACAGUGGAAGGAUACUGCAUAGAUGUUUUUGAUGCUGUGAUGGCAGCACUGCCAUAUGGUGUGCCGUAUGAAUACAUUCCAUUUGCAACAACUGAUCACAAGAUGGCUGGUGAUUACAAUGCGCUGACCCAGCAAGUGUACCUUGGAGUAAGUAUCUUCUUUAUUACAAUGAAUUUAAAAAUCAAACACAUUUUUUUAUCAACAUAGAGCAAGAUGGUACAGCUGACCUUUUCUCUAAUCAAUCAACAGAAUUAUGACGCUGUGGCUGGGGAUGUAACAAUUCUAGCAAAUAGGUCACAGUACGUCGACUUCACUUUGCCGUAUACUGAGUCUGGUGUUUCAAUGGUCGUACCAAUCCAACACGAUAAGAGCAAAAAUACAUGGCUUGUUUUUAAGCCACUGACUAGGGAGCUGUGGUUCACAACCUUUUUCUCUUGUGUUGCAAUUGGGUGUCUGGUUUGGUUUCUUGAACGUGAUGUAAAUACAGAAUUCAGCGGGUCUCCUUUGCAUGAAUUUGGCAUGAUAUUCUGGUUCGCCUUCUCCACCAUGGUCUUUGCUCACAGUAAGCCACCUUUCAUCUUUUAACUACAGUCAUUUUUGCCAAAUGUUACACUAGAGCAAAUCUAAGGCCGUGUUUUGGCAAUUGAUAAUAUUGUAAACAUCUAAACUGAUAUUGAAUGUUAAUAAAAACAAGAAGUUGUUUCUGACCAUUUGGCAUUGAAUUUUUUGGUAGGGGAGAGGGUGAUAAGCAACUGCGCCAGGUUUCUGCUGAUCAUAUGGCUCUUGGCAGUAUUUGUAUUAACCCAAAGCUACUCCGCCAGUCUUACAUCCAUAUUAACAAUCCAGAAGGUGGAGCCAGCAGUUACUGAUAUUAAUGAGCUCAUAAGAAACAAGGAAUAUGUAGGCUACUCGAACACAUCAUUUGUUUUUGGAUUUCUCAAGAAAAUGGAAUUUGAUGCAUCUCGACUUCGGUCAUUCAAGUCAGCGGAGGAAAUGGAUGAACUUCUCUCCAAAGGGAGUGCAAAUGGUGGAAUAGCAGCUGCCUUUCAUGAGAUCCCGUACAUAAAGCUGUUUCUAGGCAAAUACUGUUCAAAAUACAUGAUGGCCGGGCCCACGUACAAGGCUGAAGGUUUUGGAUUCGUAUGUGACCCUCCUCAUCACCUACUUUCAAGUGUAUCUAUCACAUAUAUUUUUUUUUCAUUCUAUGUUGUCGUUUUCUGUACUUUUAAUAAAAUAUCUCUCUUCUUUGCUGCAGGUCUUCCCAAUAGAUUCUCCUCUAGUACCUGAUGUUUCACGAGAAAUUUUGAAUGUGGCGGAGGGCCAGAAGAUGGUCGAGAUUGAGACGACGUGGUUGGGAGAUAAGACCAAAUGUCCAGACCUUAACAGCUUACUUCCACCUAAGAGUCUUGGCCUUUCAAGCUUCAGGGGACUCUUUAUUAUGGUAGGAAUAGCUGGAGUUUUAGCACUUAUAUUUAGAUUCUUCAGUAAAAAACCGCAAUUCCCUGGUGAUGAACUCACAGCGCAGAGCCAGAGAGAUGAAUUACAUCGGUUACUGAACAGGAGGUACGAGGUAGGAGGUGGUCAACAAGGCAAUGUACCUGAGAAUCCAAAUGAACUGCCCGCAAUUCGGGCACAUUUACAUGAACAUGAGUUACAUGAGUUACCGAUGAGGUUCAAUAAUAGAGAUGAACAAGGCAAUUAGUCUAAGAAUCUGAAUUAAAGCGAGUGAAUCACCUAAUUUGUAAUUUUUUGCUUCCACUAUGAUUGUGAUAUAUUGGUACUCUUUGUUGGAUCCUCCGUGACACUUUGUAAGCUGUAACCGAACUUUUAGUAUGAAGAUGUGAUACUAAGAAGGGUGUUCCAAAUCGUGAGGUAAAAACUCAAAUCUUGCUAUCUUAGAAAAUUCUACUCCCCCUUUCCACAAUCCUACUACAGUUCAUCCUCGUCAACAUAUUUGGAUUGUUCUACAUUUUGCUUUUGCUGUAGCAAGAUAGUCAUCGCCACUUUAAAUGUGUAUAACUUCACAAGUGCAAUAGCAGAUGUAUGCUACCUUUCAAUUUCUGAUAUGGGCUACAAAUCACUAGCUUUGAUUAAAAUAUCAUUACAAAGAAGGAAAAAAAAAUGAACUCUGUUAAAGGGACAUCAAGGAAACAUAAAAAAAGCUAGAGGUGUUAUUGUAAAUCAUAAAUCAGUUGCUACAUGUUUCAUUUUCUUUUCCUUGAUUUCUCUUCUUAGGACUUGCACCAGCAAGUUCUCUUCUGUUUCAUUUCAUGUUCGAACCUUUGUACUCUACUGUAAUUAUGACAUAUAAAUUGGAAUUCUGUGUUGGUUAUCUAUACACAUCUAAAAGUCGUCCCGGUUUAAAUUUUAGUUUAGGUCCUUCAGUAGUCAAACUUUUAGUAUGAGGGUAUACCUAAAGAGUGUGUCCAAAUGACCUAAAAUCAUGUCGUAGAACUCACAUUUGGCUGUCUUAUAAACUUCUAUUCACCGCUUCCACAGUCCCACUAGAAUUCCUCCUCGUUAAAGUGUUUACUAAGGGAUGCCAUUCACUAGAGAUCAUACAUAUUCUUUUAGGCAUUUCAACAAACAUGAAAUAGGCAUCAACACCAACAUUAACAAAAAAAAAAAACACAGAAUACCCCCUCAAACAAUAGUUUCUACAAUUGACCCCAAAAAAUAAACUGACACAUAAAUAGAACACAUUUUGUUAUAAGGAUUCCCAAUCAGGAUUAGGUCAGAUAUACUUGGUGUUGAACGAAUCCAAAGUGGUUGAUAUAAAUAGAAGAAAAAAAAACAUAUACAGCAAGUGGUAAUAUUAAAGCAAAAUGAGAGAGCGUUUACCUGAGUAAGAUUAACAGUCUCGAUCAUCCCCAUGGCCAGAGGCGUAGACGUGUCUGGCCGAGGUCUCUUUCACACUCUUCUUCUUCUUCUUCGCCCAGUCAAGUCAAUAUAAGAAAAUGAUCGAUAAAACCAAAUGUCCAGAUUCUAGUACUUUGUUCUCGUCCAACAGUAUCGGUUUAGAGAGCUUUUGGGGGCUGUUCUUGAUAGUGGGAAUUGCUGCAGCUUCAGCAUUGAUAAUCUACGCGAUCAAAUUCCUACGCGAAAAAUAGAGAUAGAGAGAGUGGCUGUGGAGGUGAUUGCGUGAAGUGAGCAGCAGAAUCAUCUAACGAACAUGAUUUUCGAUUUAGUCCGUCGACUUUUUCAGUGGCCUCUCCGUGUACUAAUGGCCCGACUUCUCGAGCCCAAAUGCGCAGAAUGUAGAUUUUCGAGCUAUGCAGCAAGAAAUCGAACUUGUCAAUCCGAAUCAAAACGAGCAAUUGUCAUCAACAACGGUGGACUUGGCGCAUGAAGUUCACUAAGUGUGGUAGCUUUAUCUUUCAUCUCAAUCAGAUAGGGGUAAGAUGACAUCUUGUAAUUUCAUUUCCAUUGUAGAAGAGUACUCUCAUCUAACAUUUCAAGAAGAAUAAAAGAAAAAAAGAUCUCGAUUAGUGUCUUGUUCCAAGAUAGUUCCUUAGGAGCUUUAAUGCCUGAAAUUUUGAUUUGCGAUAACACAUCAUUAGCAUUAAAACUAGCAUUGAUACAAUAUCGAAAAAAAUGUAAUUGUGUAGAAAUUCGGAGAAGGGCUGUUUAGGAAAAAUCACAAAGCUACAGAUUUCACCUUAAGUACGAGCUAAUAGAGGAAAAGAGAUGCAUGACUUGAGUAUGACAAUGGAAGAAUGCAGGCAAUUUCUAAGAGUUAAUAUUCUUGUAGGCAUUUCAACAAACAUGUACUAGGCAUCCACACAAUCCAUCAAUGCAAUCAUUAAAAAGAAUAUAAAUCAGUAAUUAUUAAUUACCAACAUCUCUGUCACGAGUGACGACAACUUGGAUUCUUCUUCUCAUAAAGUACUCCGAGGUUGUCAAUAUUAUCCGCUCUAGUUAGAUUUAAAUAUUUGCACUUGUAAUAAAUACAUUUUCAAUAUUCUGAGUAAGAGCACUUUGUUCACGUCUUCCCCUGCCUUGCCAAAUCAAUUACAUUUAUAACCAAUAAAUCUUUCAAAGUCAAAGUCAACCAUAGAAGUUGCUAAACAUGAUUAAUCACCCUAAUUGCCUCAUGUAAAUUUCAAAUUUCGAAGAGUUCGAGUUUUUUUUGUAAUAAGUCAAACCUCAAGAAUGAAUGAAUAAUUGUUUAUAAGGGUAAAUUACGGUCAUUCCCAUAGGGUAAUGCUAAAUUACGAAAAAAUCCCUCAUGUUUGGAUAUUUAUAAUCAAUUAAUCAUCCCCUCAAGUCCAUCCUUGCGGUGUCAAAUUUGGAAUCUUCCAUAAUCUAGAAGAUUACGUUGAAUUUGACACCGUAAGGGUGUACGCGUAGAAGAUUCAUAGUCGAUGGAUGGUUGUAAUUAUCCAAACAUAAGUGAGUUUGUCGUAAUUUAAUCUUAACUCGGGGGUGGCCGUAACAUAAAAAAAAAAUCAUUCUAAUCAAACCUUUUAACAAGCAUUUAUGAAAAUUUACAACAUCAACCAAUUUUGGAUAGCUCAUUGACUUUACAAAAGUAAACUCCCAUGAUUCUCCAAAGAAACUUCAAAAUACAAUAUAUUAGGACAGCUCAUUUUGGGUCCUACACCAUGUACUUAGUUCUGGAUGUAACAGUUCAAAUUCAAACAUCCAAAAACACAAUGCCCUGUGUAUGCAUUUUUUUUUGGUAAUCAAAUUAAAUCAUCAUCUAGAAAGAAAAAAAAAAGAAAUGGAGAAGAUCAAAACCUGCAGAUAUGUCAUUUUGCAUCUCUUCUGUUAUUUAUGUGCCGUGAUUUUCUCAACAAAAAUGGCAGCGGCACAGAACAUCUCUGUAAGAGUAGGAGUG
rnacentral:lncRNA from 1 species